CCGAGGCCGAGCACCACAUGAGCAUGGGAAUGGUCAUUUCAGAUGGCUCUGGAAACUGAGAAGCUGCUCAGAGGCUUCUUUCGCUCCUGGUCCGCAAAGAAGCAGGGGGUGCUGGAGCCACGCCGGCUGGAGCAGAAGUUGCACGUCUGAAUGAGGCAGGUUGCCGCCGCCGAGCUGGGUGGGCAGACAGCCGCCCUCGAGAAGAGACAGGCACCCGCAUUCCGAGCUCCUGCCGCGUGCCCCUGGCCUGUGUGUCUCCUUGGGCCCUGGGUGGCUGAGCAGACCCUUGCCAGCAGAGUGGACCCCGCAGCUCCCCGACUCCAUGCUUUUUUCAACUCCCAUCUUUCAUCCCCAUUGGCUGCCCUGUGCCAGGGCCCAGGUGGGCAAUAUACAUUCCUCCAUGGACAGCUCAGCGGCGUAGCUGAUUCCUACAGCCCCUGCUUCUGCCAGGAUCGUGCUGUGUGCAUGUGUAUCUCUACAUCUUUC